AGGAGGGCGGUCUAACCAUGCAAGUCGAGCGGAUGAUGGGAGCUUGCUCCUGGAUUCAGCGGCGGACGGGUGAGUAAUGCCUAGGAAUCUGCCUGGUAGUGGGGGACAACGUUUCGAAAGGAACGCUAAUACCGCAUACGUCCUACGGGAGAAAGCAGGGGACCUUCGGGCCUUGCGCUAUCAGAUGAGCCUAGGUCGGAUUAGCUAGUUGGUGGGGUAAAGGCCUACCAAGGCGACGAUCCGUAACUGGUCUGAGAGGAUGAUCAGUCACACUGGAACUGAGACACGGUCCAGACUCCUACGGGAGGCAGCAGUGGGGAAUAUUGGACAAUGGGCGAAAGCCUGAUCCAGCCAUGCCGCGUGUGUGAAGAAGGUCUUCGGAUUGUAAAGCACUUUAAGUUGGGAGGAAGGGCAGUAAGUUAAUACCUUGCUGUUUUGACGUUACCAACAGAAUAAGCACCGGCUAACUUCGUGCCAGCAGCCGCGGUAAU
rnacentral:rRNA from 1 species